AGAAAAUUCCGGUUCCCGUACGAUCACCGAAGUUAAGCAACGUCGGGCCUACUCAGUAUCUGGAGGGGUGACCGCUUGGGAAUACCAGAUGCUGUAA